rnacentral:tRNA from 1 species
GGGGGUACAGCUCAGUGGCAGAGCUCAUGCUUAGCAUACACGAGGUCCUGGGUUCAAUCCCCAGUGCUUCCA